CACACCAGCAAGCCCCUUUCAUUGUCGCUGUGCUCCACACCACCGCUUCACAACUCUUCCCAUCUCCGGCGAUCACCACCAACUCCGACGGCGCUUGCACAUCUUCUGCGCAUCUCUUACCGUGCCGGUCUCUUCGGUCGUUUUUUUCUUUCUUGUCACCGCGGCAUAUCACGGAGCGCUACGCGGUGCUGGAGUGGGAGUUCGACGCCCAAAGCCUUCGCGCACGCACGCACACAGAGUAAGCAUACAUUACAGAGAGAGGGAGAGAGACAGACGCACGCGGCCAUUACUUGCAGCCCCCUCAUCUUCGUUUCUGCGGGAGACCUUGUGGUGGUGGUGGUGGUGCUGUUUUACGAUUUGAGCCGCUGUCGUGCUUCCAGCCUCUUCUUACACGCACGCGCCCCACUCACAGCAAUAAUGCUGCGUCGCCAUGCCUGCAGCACCGCCGCGUUCGCGAUGGCUAUCCAGACCACGCGCGCCGCGCACAGCAUUGCCGUGCUGCAGAACUCGGUGCCGGCUACCACGGCCAAGAAGCUCGGCAGCGCUGUGUCCAAGGAGGAGGUGGCGGCGGUGAACAAGGUGCCUGCCGCCAUUCUGGAGAAGGUGUGCAACCCGCGGCUGGUGGCCUUCACGGAGAUGGACCUUGCCCGCACCCGCUUUGCCCCCCUUAUUGCCACGAUCACGGACGAGGUGGACUACACCAGUAUCGAACAGCAGGUGGCGAGCAAGUUCUUGGGGGACCCGAGCAGGCUGCAGCCCAUCCCUGGUGCCCUCAAGAAGUUCCGCGAGACAAACUGGAAGGAUGUGAAGUCGCUCAUCACCUUCUACGAGGAGACGAUGUACCCCAUCCGAAUGAAGCACAAGGAGUACAAGCAUCACGAGCUCACGAGUUUCCACAUCAAGGACGUGCUGAAGCGCGGCUUAUCGGCCUUCAAGCAGAGCUACCUCGACCAACAACAAGAGGAGCAGGUAAAGGUGAAGGCUCACAUGAAGAAGUGCGACGACUUUGUGAGCACCGCCGUCAAGGAUGCCUUCGACACGGCCGUCUGCAACGACCUCGCGAACAUCCUCCGCAUCGGCGGCGAGCAGCAUGCCCACGCGCAUCGCAUGGCGCUGAAGAUCUUAGAUGACAUGAACAUGAUGAAGGUUCCGUACAACGCGGCCACGACGGAAAUCCUGCAGGCCAUCACCUUCAACGAUGGCCCGUUCGACAACUCACCGCUUCUCUUUGAAAUGAUCGAGUGCCCAGAGCGCGGUGAAGUCCACGUCGGCACCGGCUCGCUGGAGAAAAUCAGCGACGAGAUCCUCAAGCUUAUUAGCCAUCGCCACCAGACCCCGCUGGACGACGGCAUGCUGAUCCGCUCCCCGGACACGCACCCGAACUUGCAGCGUUCCCCCGAGUAAGGGAGGAGAAGGCCCUGUGGUGGGGCGGGGCAGACAUGCGCCGUCUCCGCUGGACUGCUGCGUUUCUUCCGACCAUGUCUUUGAGGAGAGCCAGCUGGUGAUGAAGGUGGUGUUGGAGCUCGAUUCACAUCGAUGACCGGUGGCGUUGAUGGAGCAUAGGGAAAAUUAGUUUGUUUCGUCUCCGGCGGUGCCGCCGCUCCAUCUCCUCCUCCCUCGAACACUCUCGCGCUGGCGUAGGCCCGUCAUGCGUGUGCGGUUUCGGACCUUUGGUUUCCUUUUCUCAAGUUUUGUGUGCAUCUCUGCUGUGCACUCGUCUGUCUGUCCGUCCUCGUUCUCUCGGCACGUUGCCCCCUCCCCCGCGCCCCUUCCCGCCCUCCUCCACACACGGCGAGAGCGGCAGAGGGGGGAGGGCAACGACAGCUGGAUGCGUUUUGGUACUUCUCGGUCUCUCGGUAUCCUCCCCACCUCGCAGACUGACGAGUUUGUCGACGCUGCUUCGUCCACCUUUCUUUUGUCGUUGUGUAGGCGCGUGCACACGCGGAUGCGACGGCGAAGCGCGAGAUCUAGAGUGCGGGAGAGAGAGGGGCCGCGAUUGGUGCUGCGUGUAGCGUUCACCGAGGGAAGCCGAGAGAGGAUCCGGCCGGCUGGCACACCAGCGCGAUGGGCUGGAAGAGAGUGCGGGUAGCGGGGUCCUCGAGUCGCAGCAGACAGCAAAAUACCCCAUCGUAUAAUGGCGCAAGCCCAUUGGGCGUAGGAAGGCAGCUUUCACGGCGCGUUGUUAGAUUUUCGACUGUGAUGCGUACGGAGAGAGCAAGCGAGCGAGCAAGCGGUAGUGCAGGGAUGAGAGGGAAGUCGAAGAAGUCGGAGCGGUCGGCGAAGAGGUCGGGGGAUGGGGACGGCGGGUGAGGGUGAGAGUUGGGGUCUGGUAGCAUGAAGACUGCCUGCAUGCGCGAGGGUGUGCACAUGUGUACAGCCGAGGCGUGGAGCAAGCUCUCCCCCUUCUCCAGCUUCUCUUCUCUCUGCCUCUUUUUCUGGCGCUCCCGUCCACCACGCCUCGUUCCGAGCUGUUGUUUUUGCGUACUCGCAGCGGCCCCCUCAGCCAUCGCCACACAGACGCGUCCUCCGUUUCUUCCCUCCCUGCCCGCCCUUCGUCUUCGCAGGUAUUUCGUCGUUUUCCAUCCACGGGCACACCUCUGUCGCCCUCUUGCAUGUCAGUGCGCAAUGCCGCCGGCUAUGAUCUUUUCCGUUGGGCGAUGUUGCUUUCUUCUCCCACUUUCCGUCUUUCUGGGAGCUGUUAGUGUAUGUUAGUGUGUGUGUGUGUGGCUGUGUGUGCAACCUUCUCUUCCUGCUUUCUUCUCUCACGCCAUCCCGCACGCAUGAGAUGCACGCGCCGGUUGCCUCUCCAUGGGUCUCUUCUCAUCGCUCUCGCGCAGGCUUGCCCUUCCGGUUCGCAGGUGCCCCAUGCCGCUGUUGUUUUUCUUUCCAGCACGCUGUGGGUGUAGCCUGCUGACCUACCGACGCGCACAUGCACCGCAUCAGCAUUCCAUGUAGAGUUGGGGCGCAAAAAAAGGCAGGGGGUGGAGGCGGGGGAGGGGUUGGCAGUGUGAGAAGACGGCGGCGCACCGAUGUGCCGCAGGGCGAACGGCAGGCGCAUCCGCCGCAGCAAGCCACAGCAACUCCGAGGGAAAAAAGAAACAAAUAAGGAACGACAUAAAAAAAUUCUGAGAAACGCACAUGCGCCCCGCUCUGCGCGGUCUCGCAGACGUGAGUCGCCACCGAGGAACGGCAGCGACAGUGAAAAGGCCACCUGCGCUUGCAUCCGCGGUCGCUCAAAGAGCCGAUGCGAAGCCUCGGUAGGGCGUCGUUGGGUCAACUGUGCAGUCCCUCUCGCUAUUCUUCGCUUCUCUCCUUU
rnacentral:misc_RNA from 1 species